GGGGUUGUGGCUCAGCAGUAGAGCACUCUCCUAGUAUGUGAGAGGCACUGGGUUUGAUCCUCAGCACCA
rfam:Ictidomys tridecemlineatus contig056187, whole genome shotgun sequence.